UUUUCUUGUACGGAAUUCAAAGGAUGCAAACCUUAGUUAUCGGCUGUUUAAUGGUGUUAUGUCAAAUCAUUUGCAAGGAUAACGUCACGUUUUCUUGUAAAUUUCAAGGGGAAUAUUGGUGGUUCUUUUUUUUUUUUUUUUUCGAUCAGGAUUCUUGUGGUUAUUUCCAAGUAAUGACACCACUGUGUUACGUCAGCAAGAAAAGGAAUGGAAAUCCAUGCAUUGUUGUACCGUUGGCGCCGUUUCAGAGUGAGAAUAAGACGAAUAAUAUCCAAUUGUUGAAUAAAGGAUUUGAAGAAGAGGAAGGGCGUCAUCGUUGGCCAUGGAGUCCGACGAAAUAUUCAAACAAGACAUUCUUUGUUUUUUGAAUAUCCCGAAGUCAUUCCAACAUGACUAACAUUGUUCUAUUUUUACGCUUAUGGGGUAGACAGACAACAAAUGAAGCGAAAGAACAAAACACUGGUGUGGAUUGAAGUCCACAGGAAAGUAUGCCAAGUUAUGCGUUACAUUACGCGUGAACUAACGUUGUUUACCUUUGAACUAAAAACUUGGGAAAACAAAUGCUUUGUUUCAUCUAUCGCAGACUGUCUUAACGACUGAUGUCCAUCAAACAACGAUCUGUCAGCAGCUGGAUUACUCUCGCUAAAGUUAGAUUCCACAGACAAAAAGUUAUGCCUUCCCCAGCUGUCCACCUAAUCCCUUUCAUUUCAUUUAACGUUCAUCAAGUUUACCAUCGUCUGCUUUAUAGUGCCAAACAACUACUCGUGCUAAUCUCUUCUUGCAAUUAUACACACUAGCUUUGUUGAUGUCCACGUCGUUUCGCCAGAUGGUAGUUCUCUUUGACUAUCAAGGCCCACUGGCAGACGUCAGUCGUUUCUUUGAAAACCUGGAUUCGGAGAUUGAAGAUGUGCGUAUUGUAAUUGCCUUGCGUUUUAGAAACGUCCAAUCUGCAGAGACAUAACAGUGCUGCCCAGGUGAUGGCUAUAAAUCGAGCAGCAAGUCUUAGACUUGGCAGCCAUAACAAUAACUUUCUCCGACCAUAACGUCGUACAUGUGACUUGUGUUGGGAAAAAUGUGUGAACCUGUCUUGUUUCAACUCUUGUUUUGACUGAAAAUGGGGCUGUGGUGAGCACCAUCCUUCCAACAGAAUAACGGAAAAAUGAGAUGAUUCAUAAGAUCAUAAUAAGAUAACAAGAGAAAUGGACUUGGAUAUUAGAAAAACAAGCCAGGCGUCAAUCAUCUUUUACGGUGCCUCUCAGUUUAUCAACGACAGAUCAACUGCAGGUGAACACCCAUCCGUCCAGAACGUCCAUGACGUAAGCUACUCCAGGUGCCAUAAAAGGUGUUAUUUCUGAUUGAAACGACGAUGUCAGCAUUGUCAUAGGAGGAUGGAUUUUCGCCAACACUGCAGACAAAAACGUUUUGAAAGAUCACACACGGAUUGGAGAAAAUCCAUGCAGUUCAUGGUCUUGAGCCAGUCAGGGACGUUUCCAGCCCAAACGUCUCGACAUUGCAUCGGCGUGCCGUACUACUGGGUACUACAGUAAGAUAGCUGCUGCGCGCCAUUCACUAAAGUGCUUGCCGUAUUAGCGAAAAUCAUUCGAUACGAGGCUAACUUGAUGUCACCCUGUACCAGCAUAUGAAAAUGAAUGGACGCGAAAUCCUUCAAAGCUGCACGUUGCAGACAAGCGUAACUAGGCCGUGUUACACGCGCUGUCUAUCGUCGUCACCAUUGCUCCAGACCGUGCGUUAGUUUUCCCCGUCAUUUUGUCUGCGGGAUCGGUCUUGGAAGAACGAAAGCCUCAACAAACAUCGAAUGCUGUGAAUGCGCAAAAUGUCGUGGGAAAAUUCUCAGCGUGUACAACUGGGAAUUGAAUUAAUCUUUAAAAUUUAUUCGCCACUUUUCUUGUACCUUGCUUACGUUUCUGUGUAUUGGUCGAUGCAGGAUUUAUCAACCUACGCUGAUGGAUGUGAUCGAAAUUCAGGGCGUCACCUAUGAUCACUAAAUUCAAAAUGCGGUCAGUGUAUUUUCCGCGCUUCAAAAGCGAAUCCGGCAAAGAAAAGGGCAAAUUAAAGUUGAUCAGAAGAUAGCGGAGCAGCAGUCACAACAAACUAUCGUCGCGAUUCCAAAUUCCAACGAAUCAACCUAGAUACCGAUGUUUUUAUUACAGCAUUGGUCGAAUAAGUUUCUAUUAUUUGCUUUAACCCAAUUCGUGUCUAGUCUAACCUGCCGCAGUCGUUUUAGCCAACCAGCGUUUCUCGGCCGCUGCAGAGGUUGUUGUCAGGUGCAGUGCAUAUGCGGAUGAGGUCCUUUGUGUCUACUACACGUUUUACUCAAUUUGGGUUCAAGAGAUUUCAUCGGUCGCUGGAUCCCAAUCCGUCGUUGUCGCUAAACUUAUUCCCCGCCGUCUGUCGUUUCCAAGUUUGGGAUCGAGAUUCGACGACUGCAAUUCGUCCGCUGGAUUCUACCAGCAACGUGCCUUUCGUUUCGUUCUAAACUUUUCUCUUAUACCAUGGUAACCAUACACAACUGAUUGCUAUCUCCAAAGACGGCUUUACUUGAUAAAAAAAAAAAAGAAAAGUUAGCGUAUGUCGAACACUUUCAAGUCUGAUGACGACAUCAGCCAAAACACGACCGCGAACUUUUAUGCAAGUCGUAAACUCGUCCUUCAUCAGCAGUCACGCAGACUUGACCCUUAUACUCUGUGUUUAUUUAACUCGUCUAUUUUGGGAAGAAAACUCUUGUGAAAUGACCCAGUUGGAAGGGGGGAAAAAAACAAAACAAAGCAAGACUGCAGCAUCUAUAGACGUGCUCUUGAUGGGAAUGAAGUACUAUACUUUGUGUAGUUAUCGAUCGCGAUAUCGUUAGUAGAUUUAUUAAGCUAGAAGCCUGAUACUUAUUCAUUACUGCUUACACUACUAAAACAAACGUUCUUUCCUUAUGUUUUAAUUGCUUCCACACCCGUCAGCUGUCUAAAGUGCACACACCAAAGCGUGUUCGCCGAAUGCGGAUUAGUUUAGAAACUCAACCUCUCACCACCGGUUACAUCAGCCAUCAGCCUGUUUCCAAAUGGAGUGGGAAUGAAACGACAGCUGGAUAGCGACGGAUGCGCCAGUCGCUUUUAACCGCCACUCAAAGCAAUGUCGCACAGCUCUUUACUGAAAUGGUACAGGGUGUAAAACAUCGCAACGUAAAAGUCGUAAUAAGAGCGACAUCUUCAGUCCUACCAGCGUACAGUCCGGUUACUAAAUCCAUACACCUCAGACGCAGCAGAGCCGUGAAUCGUGACGGAGAAUCGUGAGAGGAGAUGCAAUCCUUUUGACAAACAUUGAGGGAACCUACUGCUGUGCAUUGCAGAACGAUCUGUUUGCUGAGCAGGCGUAUUACUAUUUACUCGCACUUUGGAACGGCGAACAUAUUACCCGAAUUUUUUCUACUGGUAGAUUUAAAGAAACGAGUGAUAUACGAAUAGCAAAUGAGAGUUUUGAAGUUGAAAAACAACAGUUUAAGGAGUUGUUCAAAUCAAAAACAAUUUUUUUCUAGUCCUCAAACAGGCUUUCGAAGUAGGCUUGGAAUAAUAUCCCUGGUAAUGGAUUGCUAAAGUUUGCAGCUUCGUUUAUAAUUAAAGCUGUUGUUUACCGUGUUGAAAAGUUGCUCUGUUGUUUUAAAGUUUAGCCAAAGCUUGUGUAACCUACUUUAUGCGUCAUCUGCAAAAAAAGCCAGUUGAAAAA